rnacentral:rRNA from 1 species
AUUGAACGCUGGCGGCAGGCCUAACACAUGCAAGUCGAACGGUAGCACAGAGAGCUUGCUCUCGGGUGACGAGUGGCGGACGGGUGAGUAAUGUCUGGGAAACUGCCCGAUGGAGGGGGAUAACUACUGGAAACGGUAGCUAAUACCGCAUAACGUCGCAAGACCAAAGUGGGGGACCUUCGGGCCUCACACCAUCGGAUGUGCCCAGAUGGGAUUAGCUAGUAGGUGGGGUAAUGGCUCACCUAGGCGACGAUCCCUAGCUGGUCUGAGAGGAUGACCAGCCACACUGGAACUGAGACACGGUCCAGACUCCUACGGGAGGCAGCAGCGGGGAAUAUUGCACAAUGGGCGCAAGCCUGAUGCAGCCAUGCCGCGUGUAUGAAGAAGGCCUUCGGGUUGUAAAGUACUCUUAGCGGGGAGGAAGGCGGUGAAGUUAACAGCUUCACCGAUUGACGUUACCCGCAGAAGAAGCACCGGCUAACUCCGUGCCAGCCGCCGCCGUAA